rnacentral:rRNA from 1 species
AAGCAUAUUAUUAAGCGGAGGAAAAGAAACUAACAAGGAUUCCCUCAGUAAGGGCGACUGAAGCGGGAAAAGCUCAUAAUGUGAAUCGAUGUCUCUGGCAUUGAGUUGUUGUCUAUAGGAUUGUGCAUUAAACAGCCGGGCGAAGUUCCUUGGAAUAGGACAGCAAAGAGGGUGAGACUCCCGUAUGCCUGGUAGUUGAAGCAGUUUCCGACGAGUCGAGUUGUUUGGGAUUGCAGCUCUAAGCGGGUGGUAAACUUCACCUAAAGCUAAAUACUAGUGAAAAACCGAUAGUGUACAAGUACCGUGAGGGAAAGAUGCAAAGAACUUUGAAAAGAGAGUUAAAGAGUACCUGAAAUUGCUGAAAAGGAAGCAGAGGAAACCAGUGUAAAGUUGUGUCAUACUUCUCUUGGUGCUUGCACUUGGAGCGCUGUGGCCGACGCUGUUACCCGCGAUUCGAUCCCAUGUAAGGAUUUCGGAUAGAGUUGAUCUCUGAGAUUUGUAUGGGGUUGGAUCAGGUGGGAACGAAAUGGUUUUCUCUCCCCCGUCUUGAA